UCACUUCCGUCUACCCCUGCCUUUUGCCACUGCGUCCCCGUCUAUCUUUCUUUUUGCACAUCAUGGCGGACAGCUUCAACAAGGUUCAGAUACUGGAUGGCAGAGGCCAUCUGCUUGGUCGGCUGGCUGCCUUUGUGCCUAAGCAGCUCUUGCUGGGACAGAAAAUUGUGGCGGUCCGGUGUGAAGGCAUCAACAUCUCCGGCAACUACUACCGUAACAAACGCAUGCUGCCCCACAAAACCGAGAGGCCAGGCUGCCCUGGAUAUGAUGGUGUUCGAUGGCAUCCUCCUACCCUACAACAAGAGGAAGCGCAUGGUGGGACAACAAACCCUGACUGCUGCAUUCCAGCAAAAAGAAACAGUUUUGUGAGCUGUCCAACGUGGAAUCGGCAUUUGCGGCAUGCUGCCCCACAAAACCGAGAGGCCAGGCUGCCCUGGAUAGUAUGAAGGUGUUAGAUGGCAUCCCCCUACCCUACAACGAGAGCAAGUGCAUGGUGGGACAACAAACCCUGACUGAUUCAUUCCAGCAAAAAGAAACAGUUUUGUGAGCUGUCCAACGUGGAGUCGGCAUUUGCGGCAUGCUGCCCCACAAAACCGAGAGGCCAGGCUGCCCUGGAUAGGAUGAAGGUGUUAGAUGGCAUCCACCUACCCUACAACGAGAGCAAGUGCAUGGUGGGACAACAAACCCUGACUGAUUAAUUCCAGCAAAAAGAAACAGUUUUGUGAGCUGUCUAACGUGGAGUCGGCAUUUGCGGCAUGAUGCCCCACAAAACCGAGAGGCCAGGCUGCCCUGGAUAGGAUGAGGGUGUAAGAUGGCAUCCCCCUACCCUACAACAAGAGGAAGCGCAUGAUGGGACAACAACAAACCCUGAUUGAUUCAUUCCAUGAGCUGUCCAACAUGGAGUCGGCAUUUGCGCUUGGUGAGCUGGGCAAAGGUGCAGGAAAAGGCGGGGGAGCAGGUGGGUCCAUUCGAGAGACAGGUCGAGCCAUGGGAAAGAAGCAGGCUGCAGAGGAGGAAAUGUACUUCAGGCGCAAGGAGAAAGAGCAGCUGGAUGCACUCAAGCAACACCCCCAGGAGUAAAUCGAAAACUACAAAAAGGAGCUUGAACGCCUGCACCAAGAGAUUGAUCGCCAUAAGGGAAAGAUUGGGAAACUGAAGCAUGAAUGAGAAACCUUCAAACGAAUCAAAACCGGUUUUGCCAGACUUUUUUAAUCACCGUUGGCGUCUCAGGAAUUAUAUUGCUCCUAUUCUUCAAACUGCAUUUUCUUAUGCAGUAAUGUUGCAUAAAGAAACAGGCAGGAUUGUGUUGGAUUGUUGCUAUAAUGCAAUUAAAAGCAGUCACAAAAAUAAUUUUUCCAUGGAUCUGUGUGACACGAUUUACAGUAUAAACUGUUGUAUUUUAAUACAGCAAAAAUUGUUUAUUAAAAAAAAUAUUGCUUUUUA